GUGUGGGGCUCUAUCCACGAGUUCCGUGCCGCAGCUAACGCAUUAAGCGCCCCGCCUGGGGAGUACGGCCGCAAGGCUAAAACUCAAAGGAAUUGACGGGGGCCCGCACAAGCGGCGGAGCAUGCGGAUUAAUUCGAUGCAACGCGAAGAACCUUACCAAGGCUUGACAUACGCCGGAAACACUCAGAGAUGGGUGCCCCGCAAGGUCGGUGUACAGGUGGUGCAUGGUUGUCGUCAGCUCGUGUCGUGAGAUGUUGGGUUAAGUCCCGCAACGAGCGCAACCCUCGUUCUAUGUUGCCAGCGGGUAGUGCCGGGGACUCAUAGGAGACUGCCGGGGUCAACUCGGAGGAAGGUGGGGAUGACGUCAAAUCAUCAUGCCCCUUAUGUCUUGGGCUUCACGCAUGCUACAAUGGCCGGUACAAAGGGCUGCGAAACCGUGAGGUGGAGCGAAUCCCAAAAAGCCGGUCUCAGUUCGGAUUGGGGUCUGCAACUCGACCCCAUGAAGUCGGAGUCGCUAGUAAUCGCAGAUCAGCAACGCUGCGGUGAAUACGUUCCCGGGCCUUGUACACACCGCC
rnacentral:rRNA from 1 species